rnacentral:rRNA from 1 species
GGAUUGAGAGCUUGCUCUCAAGAAGUUAGCGGCGGACGGGUGAGUAACACGUGGGUAACCUGCCCAUAAGACUGGGAUAACUCCGGGAAACCGGGGCUAAUACCGGAUAAUAUUUUGAACUGCAUGGUUCGAAAUUGAAAGGCGGCUUCGGCUGUCACUUAUGGAUGGACCCGCGUCGCAUUAGCUAGUUGGUGAGGUAACGGCUCACCAAGGCAACGAUGCGUAGCCGACCUGAGAGGGUGAUCGGCCACACUGGGACUGAGACACGGCCCAGACUCCUACGGGAGGCAGCAGUAGGGAAUCUUCCGCAAUGGACGAAAGUCUGACGGAGCAACGCCGCGUGAGUGAUGAAGGCUUUCGGGUCGUAAAACUCUGUUGUUAGGGAAGAACAAGUGCUAGUUGAAUAAGCUGGCACCUUGACGGUACCUAACCAGAAAGCCACGGCUAACUACGUGCCAGCAGCCGCGGUAAUACGUAGGUGGCAAGCGUUAUCCGGAAUUAUUGGGCGUAAAGCGCGCGCAGGUGGUUUCUUAAGUCUGAUGUGAAAGCCCACGGCUCAACCGUGGAGGGUCAUUGGAAACUGGGAGACUUGAGUGCAG